UACGAAGGGGGCUAGCGUUGUUCGGAAUUACUGGGCGUAAAGCGCACGCAGGCGGUGGUCAUAGUCAGAAGUGAAAGCCCUGGGCUCAACCCGGGAAUUGCUUUUGAUACCGGGCCGCUAGAAUCACGGAGAGGGUAGUGGAAUUCCGAGUGUAGAGGUGAAAUUCGUAGAUAUUCGGAAGAACACCAGUGGCGAAGGUGACUACCGGGCCGUCGAGUGACGAUCAUGUGCGAAAGCGUGGGGAGCAAACGGG
rnacentral:rRNA from 1 species